rfam:Neofusicoccum parvum TCRNP2 chromosome Tnknown NP2_03_scaffold_529, whole genome shotgun sequence.
GCCACGGUGGCCGAGUGGUUAAGGCGGCAGAUUUAAGUCAAUCUGGGCUCCCCAGGAGCUUUCUCUUAUACUCUGCUACAGAAAUGUGCAUGCGUUCGAACCGCAUCCGUGGCA